rnacentral:rRNA from 1 species
AACGAACGCUGGCGGCAUGCCUAACACAUGCAAGUCGAACGAAUUUAGGGGCUUCGGCCCCGACGGUUAGUGGCGGACGGGUGAGUAACGCGUAGGAACCUGCCAAGCAGUGGGGAAUAACAGCUGGAAACGGCUGCUAAUACCGCAUACGCCCCUUGGUGUAAGAGCCAUGGGGAAAGAUUUAUCGCUGUUUGAGGGUCCUGCGUUCGAUUAGCUAGUUGGUGAGGUAACGGCCCACCAAGGCGACGAUCGAUAGCUGGUCUGAGAGGAUGAUCAGCCACACUGGGACUGAGACACGGCCCAG